UGGGUAACCUGCCUCAAAGAGGGGAAUAGCCUUCCGAAAGGAAGAUUAAUACCGCAUAAUAUGUUUUGGUCGCAUGACUAGAACAUCAAAGGAGUAAUCCGCUUUGAGAUGGACCCGCGGCGCAUUAGCUAGUUGGUGAGGUAACGGCUCACCAAGGCAACGAUGCGUAGCCGACCUGAGGAGGGUGAUCGGCUACAUUGGAACUGAGACACGGUCCAGACCUCCGUACGGGGAGGCCGGCG
rnacentral:rRNA from 1 species